rnacentral:rRNA from 1 species
AGAGUUAAACAGUACGUGAAAUUGUUGAAAGGGAAACGAUUGAAGCCAGUCGUACCGACGGGAAAUCAGCCUUUUGGGUGUGAUUAUGUGGGGCGUGAGGAGUUAAUCACCCUCAUCUUUGCAUAUUCGUGCACUUUUGGGUGUACUUGCUCGUGUGGUAGGUUAACAUCAAUUUUGAUCAUCAUAAAAUGAUUGGAGGAAUGUAGCUUCGGUCUUGUAUUGAAGUGUUAUAGCCUUUGGUGGAUGUGAUGGUCGGGAUUGAGGAUUGCAACGGAUACCCUUCGGGGCUACCUGUCUGAUCUCUGAAAGUUGCUCUGGUGCUGAAAGCUUGCUUAUGGUAUCAAAGUUGACGUUCAAUAGGUUAGAAUGGGAUAAAUUCGUUAAGGAUGUUGACGUAAUGGCUUUAAACGACC